GGGGCUGCACUGGUUUCGACGCGGGUACGGACGCGCAGUGGGGCAUGCCGAGCUUAGUGUGCUCGUAAAACUGACUAAAACAAACUAACUGCAAACGACGAACGUUUCGCACUCGCUGCUUAAUAACCAGUGAGCCCUACAACAGCAGGCCGAUGGGCUGGGCAAGGGGUCUUUAGCGCAAGUUGAAGGCUCCCGGCUGUAGGGUCAUACACAUCGGCUGGCCUGGUACCGGGCACCUUGGUAUCAGGCGAGACAAUAGGAUGCUGGCAACCUGUAUAGCGUGCUGCUGCGCGAUACGGGAAGUGAGACUCAAAUCAGACGGCUAAGCAUGUAGAACUACGCGAAGAAGGCUUGCGGACGGGGGUUCAAAUCCCCCCAGCUCCACCA
rnacentral:tmRNA from 14 species